rnacentral:rRNA from 5 species
AUUUCGAACGCACAUUGCGGCCCAAGGAUCCCAUUCCCGGGCCACGCCUGGCUGAGGGCAGGC